CCCAGACUCCUACGGGAGGCAGCAGUGGGGGAUAUUGCACAAUGGGGGAAACCCUGAUGCAGCGACGCCGCGUGGGCGAAGAAGUAUUUCGGUAUGUGAAGCCCUAUCAGCAGGGAAGAAGAAAUGACGGUACCUGAGUAAGAAGCACCGGCUAAAUACGUGCCAGCAGCCGCGGUAAUACGUAUGGUGCAAGCGUUAUCCGGAUUUACUGGGUGUAAAGGGAGCGCAGGCGGCACGGCAAGCCUGAUGUGAAAGGCUGGGGCUCAACCCCAGGACUGCAUUGGAAACUGUUAGGCUGGAGUGUCGGAGAGGUAAGCGGAAUUCCUAGUGUAGCGGUGAAAUGCGUAGAUAUUAGGAGGAACACCAGUGGCGAAGGCGGCUUACUGGACGACAACUGACGCUGAGGCUCGAAAGCGUGGGGAGCAAACAGGAUUAGAUACCCGCGUA
rnacentral:rRNA from 1 species